GCUUACGGCCACACCGCCUGGUUCACGCUUGAUCUCGGAAGCUAAGAUAGGUUGGGCCUGGAUAGUACUUGGAUGGGAGACCGUCUGGGAUUACCAGGUGCUGUAAACU
rnacentral:rRNA from 1 species